GAUGAACGCUAGCGGCAGGCCUAAUACAUGCAAGUCGAGGGAGAAUGUUGGAUUCGUCUGACAUGAAACCGGCGCACGGGUGCGUAACACGUAUGCAACCUACCUUUAACUGGGGUAUAGCUCAGAGAAAUCUGAAUUAAUCCCCCAUAAGACUACGACAUGGCAUCAUGAUGUAGUUAAAGCUCCGGCGGUUAAGGAUGGGCAUGCGGUACAUUAGCUAGUUGGUGAGGUAAGGGCUCACCAAGGCUACGAUGUAUAGGGGGCCUGAGAGGAUGAUCCCCCACACUGGUACUGAGACACGGACCAGACUCCUACGGGAGGCAGCAGUAGGGAAUAUUGGUCAAUGGACGCAAGUUUGAACCAGCCAUGCCGCGUGAAGGAUGAAGGCCCUAUGGGUCGUAAACUUCUUUUAUUAGGGAAGAAAAAACGGGAUGCGUCCUGUACUGACGGUACUUAAUGAAUAAGGAUCGGCUAACUUCGUGCCAGCCGCCGCAGUAA
rnacentral:rRNA from 1 species